AAAUUGAAGAGUUUGAUCAUGGCUCAGAUUGAACGCUGGCGGCAGGCCUAACACAUGCAAGUCGGACGGUAGCACAGAGGAGCUUGCUCCUUGGGUGACGAGUGGCGGACGGGUGAGUAAUGUCUGGGGAUCUGCCCGAUAGAGGGGGAUAACCACUGGAAACGGUGGCUAAUACCGCAUAACGUCGCAAGACCAAAGAGGGGGACCUUCGGGCCU
rnacentral:rRNA from 1 species